UACGUAGGGGGCAAGCGUUGUCCGGAAUCAUUGGGCGUAAAGCGCGUGUAGGCGGCUCGGUAAGUCUGCUCUGAAAGCCCGGGGCUCAACCCUGGGAGGCGGGUGGAUACUGCUGAGCUCGAGUCCGGAAGAGGAGUGUGGAAUUCCUGGUGUAGAGGUGAAAUUCGUAGAUAUCAGGAGGAACACCGGUGGCGAAGGCGGGUCUCUGGGCCGAUACUGACGCUGAGGAGCGAAAGCGUGGGGAGCGAACAGG
rnacentral:rRNA from 1 species